UUGAGAAUGAGAAGUUAUUGCUCUUUAUAAAGUUUCAAUAGGACUCCAAUUGUAUCAUUGACCAGUCCUUUUAGAGUAUAGGCCAUGUGGUUUGGGCCUUCUAUUGGGGCGUUACAAAUGGUAUUAAAGCCUAUCCCAAUCAGAAAUGUAGAACUUAAACCAUGCCACCUAUGAUGUAUUGGCUCGACAAGGGCGUCAGGAAUUUAAGGGGGGGAGAUUGUGACACCCCAUAUGAUAAGGAUAAGGGUAGGUGGUGUAUGGGAUCCCACAUUGCUUAAGAAUGAGAGGUUCUUGCUCUUUAUAAGGUUCAAAUGAGGCUCUAAUUGCAUCAUUGACUUGUCCUUUUGGAGUAUAGGCCAUGUGGUUUGGGCCUUCCAUUGGGGCGUUACAUGGAGUACAGGUGGAUGACGGAACAGAGAGAGAGAGUGAUGAGAGAGAGAAA